rnacentral:misc_RNA from 1 species
AACCAAAAUGAACACAAAACCCUCGUCAGAACGAACUCACAAAAAUACAACACAAUAAUAGAGUUACUUAGUGACACAUCAGUUUCAACUCAAGCAGCAUCCUUUGAAGCCUUACCUUUUCUACCACUACCACUAGCAUUAACCUUCCUUGCAUCUUCAGGUAUAGUGUCUUCCAUUACCUUUGGAGAAGUGAAAUUGAAGUCCUCAAUAGAUACAUCUUUGUAUUUUGGAUUUGCUUCUAAAAAUGCAGCAAUUUCAUUUCUCGUUCUUAGUUUCUUUCCUGUGGGAGUGAUAUAAUAAGCAUCCAUUUUAGAGAAAUCUCGUCUGAGCACCAAGCUCCUCUUAAAACCUACAGGGGUCUUUGGGAUCCCAGGCCUGUCAAUGACCCAAGUUCGAGUUGCAUUGUAUUCGAUGUCAGCAGGAUCCUCACAAGAUACACCGGGUUUUCUGUCACAAACAAAGGGAUUCUCGAAGAUUUUGCUUCUUAUUUCCUCGUACUCUUCUUGCGUUGCAAUUACCCUCCAUUUUGAGCAUUUUUCACAUUGCGCAGCAUAGGUAUCCACUGAUCGCACUGCCCAUCGUGGAUUCUUCGACGACGUUUUGGGUGUUUCUCGAUUGUCCUCUUUCGUUGCCAUUUCCUCUCUCUCUCUCUCUCUCUCUCUCUCUGGCCGGCAAGAAAAUAGAAGAAAGAAAAAUAAACAAACUUAAAAUCUAGAGAAUUCGAUUCAAUUCC